rnacentral:rRNA from 1 species
CCUACGGGAGGCAGCAGUGGGGAAUAUUGGGCAAUGGGCGAGAGCCUGACCCAGCAACGCCGCGUGAAGGAAGAAGGCUUUCGGGUUGUAAACUUCUUUUGACAGGGAAGAGCAGAAGACGGUACCUGUCGAAUAAGCCACGGCUAACUACGUGCCAGCAGCCGCGGUAAUACGUAGGUGGCAAGCGUUGUACGGAUUUACUGGGUGGAAAGGGCGUGUAGCCGGGCUGACAAGUCAGAUGUGAAAUCCGGGGGCUCAACCCCCGAACUGCAUUUGAAACUGUUGGUCUUGAGUAUCGGAGAGGCAGGCGGAAUUCCUAGUGUAGCGGUGAAAUGCGUAGAUAUUAGGAGGAACACCAGUGGCGAAGGCGUCUUACUGGACCGAAACUGACGUUGAGGCUCGAAAGCGUGGGGAGCAAACAGGAUUAGAUACCCCUGUAGUC